AGGAAAGUACAAGAAACCUAAGACGAAGUUACAAACUUCCUGAUAAUCAAUCUAUUGACCAGAAUUACAAGCUUCAGGUAGCUGAAAGCAUUGACUGGAUCAGUGGGAGGAAACAGAAUGGGGCUACUUUAGCAAAAAUGAAUGAAAGAACAUGCUGAGCUUCAAAUCAGAUGGCACCUAGGUUACAUUUUCCAGCUUCUGCAGAAGUUAGUACAAGCACGUGACCGAGUCCUGGCUAAUGGAAUACUCCAGUUCCUACCUGCAGUCAUCUAUGUUCUUGAAGAAAAUGCAUCCCAGCAUGACCAGAAUGACCAUGAAAAGACAGAGUUUCACGUAGAGAAUGAUCAGUAAAGAUGACACUGGAUAUCCCAGGUCUCUGAAAUCUUCAAACAUAAGCAGGAGAAAAAUAAUUUCAAAGGUUCUUCUAGUUACCAAAUUAGAGU